rnacentral:rRNA from 1 species
UGGGGAAUUUUGCACAAUGGGGGAAACCCUGAUGCAGCGACGCCGCGUGAUUUAGAAGGCCUUCGGGUUGUAAAAAUCUUUUCUAUGGGAAGAAAAUGACAGUACCAUAGGAAUAAGGACCGGCUAAUUACGUGCCAGCAGCCGCGGUAAUACGUAAGGUCCGAGCGUUGUCCGGAAUCAUUGGGCGUAAAGGGUACGUAGGCGGGUAAGCAAGUUAGAAGUGAAAUCCUAUAGCUCAACUAUAGUAAGCUUUUAAAACUGCUCAUCUUGAUGUAUGGAAGGGAAAGUGGAAUUCAUAGUGUAGCGGUGAAAUGCGCAGAUAUUAGGAGGAAUACCGGUGGCGAAGGCGACUUUCUGGCCAGAACCUGACGCUGAGGUACGAAAGCGUGGGUAGCAAACAGG